AUGAGGUAUGCUUCUCAGCUCCUGGGCUGCUUGUGUUCUGGAUCCCUGGUAAGGAGAAAGAAAGAUGAAGAAGGAGAUUGUGGGGUGGUCAGUGGAGAUAUUGUGAUGACCCAGCCUGCACUCUCCAGUCCUGUUACUCUUGGAGAGUCAGCUUCCAUCUCCUGCAGGUCCAGUAAGAGUCUCUUAUAUAGUGAUGGCAACACUUACUUGUAUUGGUACCUGCAGAGACCAGGCCAGUCUCCUCAGCUCCUGAUCUAUUGGAUGUCCAACCUUGCCUCAGGAGUCCCAAGCAGGUUCAGUGGCAGUGGGUCAGGAACAGAUUUCACACUGAAAAUAAGUCGAGUGGAGGCUGAGGAUGUGGGUGUUUAUUACUGUCAGCAACAUCUAGAAUCUCCUCCCAUAGUAACAGAGCCCUAUACAAAAACCUCCCUGCUUGAAGUGAUGAAGAUGUCUCAUAAGUUCCUUGUUUUGGGUGCAACAUGGUACAGUCAACAUGGAUGA